GCAGAGUCCGCCAAAAUACCAGUGAAGAUCGCAAGUAAAAAGAUGAAAGCAACCCAUUGGCCCAAAUUUUUUUGUCUGCAUCAGAUACUGCAGCACACUCAGCUGACCCAAACCUGUUAGUCGAGCCCUCUGGAUCUGAUAAAGGCUCUGCACUACAACAGGGUUGGCAAAAAAGAUGUCCCACCCAAUGUGCUGCAGCAGCCUAGAAAGGCAAAGACAAAGGUGACGAUAUUCAGCACUUUAACAGAGGGAGAGGCGGAAGACCUUGCCAAGGGGUUUGGAAUGGCACUGACCAAACAUGUGCCAAAAGACAAACUACUUUCUGGGAUACCUGAAGAGGACAUCCCAGCAACACUUUAAGUGUGUCUGUGAGGACCAUUGAACAAAUGAAGAUUAAUGUGCAAAACCUUGGCCCUGAAUCAGAGCUGGAUUUGGCCACUCACCGCUUU